rnacentral:tRNA from 1 species
CAGCUGCUGCGCGAGCCCCUUCAGCGGCAGGCUGGCGGCCAGCGCCGGCCAUUCGCCGGUAAACACGGGCGGCGUGCCAUCGUCGGCGGGCGC